rnacentral:misc_RNA from 1 species
AAGUCGUAACAAGGUUUCCGUAGGUGAACCUGCGGAAGGAUCAUUAAAAGGUUUAUCUAGGGGUGGGUGAAACCCCCCUAGGAAACUCCACCCUUGUGUAUUAUUACUUGUUGCUUUGGUGGGCCGCGAGAUUGCCUAGCGAUUGAGCACCGGCUUCGGCUGGAGAGCGCCUGCCAGAGGACCAAACUCUGUUAUUUUAUGUCGUCUGAGUACUAUUUAAUAGUUAAAACUUUCAACAACGGAUCUCUUGGUUCUG